rnacentral:rRNA from 1 species
UACGGAAGGGGCAAGCGUUAUUCGGAAUCAUUGGGCGUAAAGGGCGCGUAGGUGGCUCUGUAUGUCUACCGUGAAAGCAUACAGCUCAACUGUAUUUUGUCGGUAGAAACUGCAGGACUUGAGGCUGGGAGGGGCUGGUGGAAUUCCCUGUGUAGCGGUGAAAUGCGUAGAGAUGGGGGAGAACACUCGUGGCGAAGGCGGCCAGCUAGACCAGUUCUGACACUGAGGCGCGACAGCGUGGGGAGCAAACAGG